rnacentral:rRNA from 1 species
UAGGGAAUCUUCCACAAUGGGCGAAAGCCUGAUGGAGCAACGCCGCGUGAGUGAUGAAGGCCUUCGGGUUGUAAAACUCUGUCAUUCGGGACGAACCGGAGUCUGAGGAAAUGCAGACUCUCUGACGGUACCGGAGGAGGAAGCCCCGGCUAACUACGUGCCAGCAGCCGCGGUAAUACGUAGGGGGCAAGCGUUGUCCGGAUUCACUGGGCGUAAAGCGCGCGCAGGCGGUGAUGUAAGUCUGAGGUGAAAACCCGAAGCUCAACUUCGGGACUGCCUUGGAUACUGCGUCACUUGAGGAUAGGAGAGGCAAGGGGAAUUCCACGUGUAGCGGUGAAAUGCGUAGAGAUGUGGAGGAACACCUGUGGCGAAGGCGCCUUGCUGGCCUAUUUCUGACGCUGAGGCGCGAAAGCGUGGGGGGCAAACAGG